ACGUAAUAGAUACCCUGGUAGUCCACGCCCUAAACGAUGUCUACUAGUUGUUGGUGGAGUAAAAUCCAUGAGUAAACGCAGCUAAACGCGUGAAGUAGACCGCCUGGGGAGUACGGUCGCAAGAUUAAAAACUCAAAUGAAUUGACGGGGGCCCGCACAAGCGGUGGAUUAUGUGGAUUAAUUCGAUGCAACGCGAAAACCUUAACCUGGCCUUGACAUGUAACGAACUUUCCAGAGAUGGAUUGGUGCUCGAAAGAGAACGUUAACACAGGUGCUGCAUGGCUGUCGUCAGCUCGUGCCGUGAGAUGUUGGGUUAAGUCCCGCAACGAGCGCAACCCUUGCCAUUAAUUGCCAUCAUUUAGUUGGGCACUUUAAUGGGACUGCCGGUGACAAACCGGAGGAAGGUGGGGAUGACGUCAAGUCCUCAUGGCCCUUAUGGCCAGGGCUUCACAC
rnacentral:rRNA from 1 species